AACGCAUAUUGCGCUCGAGACUUCGGUCGAGAGCAUGCCUGUCUCAGCGUCGGCUCACCCCUCGCCCACCCUCCCCAUUUUCUUCGGAAACACCGGGAGGUGCCUGGACGGACGUGGCCGUCUCGAUUGGGCUCUGGCUCUCAACUCUUCUUGAGAGACAGGGCAAACAACCGAUCGGGUCGGCUGAAGUGCAGGGCCCGCGGCGCGACCCGGACAAGAGGGCGCCAGCAUGGUAGGUGGCUCAACGCUGCAUGCCGCUGUCGCCUGCCCUUGGCCCGAUCAGUGUCGCAUCCAAUCGUCCGCUCGGCCACCAAGCAGGAAACGUGUCGGGGCCCCGCCGGUUGGUCACACAACCGGCGGCGCCGGCACACCCAAACCUUCGACCUGAGAUCAGACAAGACUACCCGCUGAACUUAA
rnacentral:misc_RNA from 2 species